AUGGCUAUCCCAGGCUUUAAGUGGGAAAUAUGUGUAGAGUAUAAUCAUUUUUCGUUCUUUGCUUCUAGGUAUCGACUCAUUGGCUUCCCAUCUGCUGCUUGUCUCCUUUCAGGCAAUAAUGUCACUUGGGAUAAGGAUGCACCUCUUUGUGAGAGUAUAUCUUGUGAGCCACCCCGAGCCAUAUCCAAUGGAGACUACUACAGCAGCAACAGAAGUGCUUUGCAAUAUGCAACAGUGGUCACUUAUUGGUGUCUCACUGGGCCAAGUGGAGAAAAGCUGUUUGACCUCGUGGGAGAAGAGUCGAUAUCCUGUACCACCAAAGAUGAUCAAGUUGGUGUCUGGAGCAGCCCUCCUCCUCAGUGUAUUUCUGCUAAUUAACGCACAACUCCAGAAGUUGAAAAUGGAAUUAGAGUAUCAGGACAUAGGAGUUUAUUUUCCUUAAAUGAGAUUGUGAGAUUUAGAUGUCAGUCUGGCUUUGUCAUGACAGGGCCCCAUAGUGCCGGGCCAACAACCCACGGGUGCCUGAGCUGCCAAGCUGCUCCAGGGUAUGUCAGCUGCCUCCAGAAACUCCACAUGGUAAGCACACCCCAAGCAAUAAGGACGAAUUUUCCCCUGGGCAGGAAGUGCUCUAUGGCUGUGAGCCUGGCUAUGAUCUCAGAGGGGCUGCUUCUCUGCGCUGUACGCCCCAGGGAGACUUGAGCCCUGCAGCCCCCAGAUGUGCAGUAAAAUCAUGUACUGACCUCCUGGACCAACUCCCUAAUGGCUAUGUGCUCUUUCCACAUUUUAAUUUCCAGCUUGGGGCAAAAGUGUCCUUCGUUUGUGACACUGGGUUCCAAUUAAAAGGCAGCUCCGCUAGUCACUGUGUCUUUGUUGGAAUGAAAAACCUUUGGAGCAGCAGUGUUCCUGUUUGUGAGCAUGAGUAUGUUUUUUGUCCAAAUCCUCCGGCUAUCCUUAACAGGAACUACACAGGAACUUCUCUGGGAGACAUUGCCUAUGGAAAAGAUAUUACUUACAUAUGUGACUCCCACCCAGACAGAGGGAUGACCUUCAACCUCACUGGGGAGAGACCCAUCCGCUGCAAAAGUGACAGUCAAGGGAAUGGGAUUUGGAGAGGCCCUGCCCCUCGCUGUGAACUUUCUGGUCCUGCUGGUCAGUGCACAUUUCCCCACACUCCAGAUGGAUCAGAAUGUCUAGGCGACAACCUCCAUAUUUCUAUAGUGACAGUCAUUUUUGCUUGUGAAAAUGGCUAUGUUAUGAAUGUCAGACACAGAAUUACCUGUCGAGUGAAUAACAGACGGGUUCUAGAUGAGCCACACUGUGUCCCAGUUGGUGGUAUUUUGAUGACCCCACUGGGAGAGGAGGUACUAAGCUUAACAAAACAGAAUGCAGAAGUCCCUUCUCUAGAAGCAGCUGGGCUGAUUAAUCGUGUAGUCAUUUGUGCUUGUGCUCGUGUGGGUGAAGCUGGUAAACUAAGCAGAUGCAGCUACCUGGAGAGGACUGAUUAUUCUUAUCAGGAGCUCAAGCUGUCCUCACCGCAAGAGAAGCGCAUAAAGGUCCUCACAGUAAAGAAGAAGGAAGCCACCAAUAAUACAGAUGAAAAAUCUAAAGAAGUUAUUAUCCAUUUACAUCCCCAGAAGGCAGCUGUGUUCAUCCUCAAACUCUGCAAACAAAUCAGGAAAAUGACAGGCCACGCCCACUGGCCGUUCCGACUUGACACUGCAAGCCUGGAGAUUAUUGUGUCUGAUAACCAGACUCCAGAAGGUUCGCUGGGCCGUCUCUCAGGAAUCCCGCGGAUCUCCCCGAAAAUGACGGCGUCUUGCGCGCCGCGCACGGCACUUCCCUGUCGCCCCGAGAGCCACUUCUCUUCUUGGGGCCUCGUUGGGGUCCUUUUGGGGGCCCUAGUGCUGCUGCUGCCCGUGUCCUCCGAUGCCUGUCGUGAUCCACCAAGAUUCAAUUCUAUGAAGCUGAAAGGUGUCACUCAAUCCUCUUAUAGUCCUGGGGACACAAUAGAAUAUGUGUGUCUUCCAGGAUACAAGCUUGAGAGACCUCCUCUUAACACCUCUGCUGCCUGUCAGUCUGAUAACACAUGGACACCUCUCCAGGAGGCUUGUACAAGAAAAUUAUGUCCACCUCUACAAGAACCCACAAAUGGCAGAAUAAACUAUGUAAAUGGAACUUUGGAGUUUGGUUCACAGGUUCGCUAUGUUUGUAAUGAGGGGUAUUGACUCAUUGGCUCCCCAUCUGCUGCUUGUCUCCUCUCACGCAAUAAUGUCACUUGGGAUUAGGAGACACCUCUUUGUGAGACUGUAUCUUGUGAGCCACCCCCAGCCAUAUCCAAUGGAAACUACUACAGCAGCAAUAGAAAUGCUUUUCAAAAUGCAACAGUGGUCACUUAUCGGUGUCUCACUGGGCCAGAUGGAGAAAAGCAGUUUCACCUCAUGGGAGAACAGUCAAUAUCCUGUACCAGCAAAGACAAUAACCUGGUGUUUAGAGCAGCCCUCCUCCUCAGUGUAUUUCUGCUAAUUAAUACACAACUCCAGAAGUUGAAAAUGGAAUUAGACUACCCGGAAAUAGGAGUUUAUUUUCCUUAAGUGAGAUUGUGAGAUUUAGAUGUCAGCCUGGCUUUGUCAUGAGAGGGUCCAACAUUGUGCAGUGCCGGGCCAACAACACACGGGUGCCUGAGCUGCCAAGCUGCUCCAGGGCAUGUCAGCCACCUCCAGAAAUCGCACAUGGUAAGCACACCCUAAGCAACAAGGACGACUUUUCCCCUGGGCGGGAAGUGUUCUACAGCUGUGAGCCUGGCUAUGAUCUCAGAGGGGCUGCUUCUCUGCGCUGUACGCCCCAGGGGGACUAGAGCCCUGCCACCCCAAUAUGUGCAGUGAAAUCAUGUGCUGAAUUCCUGGACCAAUGCCCUAAUGGUCGUGUGCUCUUUCCAUUUCAUCUCCAGCUUGGACAAAAAUGUCCUUCAUUGGUGAGGAGGGGUUCUGAUUUAAAGGCAGCUCUGCUAGUCACUGUGUCUUGGUUGGAAUGAAAAGCCUUUGGAGCAGCAGUGUUCCUCUCUGUGACCGUGUAUCUUGUGAGCCUCCCCCAGCCAUAUCCAAUGGAGACUACUACAGCAGCAAUAGAAAUGCUUUUCAAUAUGCAACAGUGGUCACUUAUCGGUGUCUCACUGGGCCAGAUGGAGAAAAGCUGUUUGACCUUGUGGGACAACAGUCAAUAUUCUGUACCAGCAAAGAUGAUCAACCUGGUGUUUGGAGCAGCCCUCCUCUCAGUGUAUUUCUGCUAAUAAAUGCACAACUCCAGAAGUUGAAAAUGCAAUUAGACUACCCGGAAAUACGAGUUGAUUUUCCUUAAGUGAGAUGUGAGAUUUAGAUGUCAGCCUGGCUUUGUCAUGAAAGGGCCCCACACUCUGCAGUGCUGGGCUAACAACACAUGGGUGCCUGAGCUGCCAAGCUGCUCCAGGGCAUGUCAGCCACCUCCAGAAAUCGCACAUGGUAAACACACCCUAAGCAACAAAGGACAGUGUUUCCCCUGGGCAGGGGGUGUGACCUACAGCUAUGAGCCUGGCUAUGAUCUCACAGGGGCUGCUUCUCUGCGCUGUACGCCCCAGGGGGACUAGAGCCCUGCCACCCCAACAUGUGCAGUGAAAUCAUGUGCUGAAUUCCUGGACCAAUGCCCUAAUGGUCGUGUGCUCUUUCCAUUUCAUCUCCAGCUUGGACAAAAAUGUCCUUCAUUUGUGAGGAGGGGUUCUGAUUAAAAGGCAGUUCUGCUAGUCACUGCGUCUUGGUUGGAAUGAAAAGCCUUUGGAGCAGCAGUGUUCCUUUGUGUGAAUGUGAGUAG